rnacentral:rRNA from 1 species
CCUACGGGAGGCAGCAGUGGGGAAUAUUGCACAAUGGGGGAAACCCUGAUGCAGCGACGCCGCGUGAGUGAAGAAGUAUUUCGGUAUGUAAAGCUCUAUCAGCAGGGAAGAAGAAAGACGGUACCUGACUAAGAAGCCCCGGCUAACUACGUGCCAGCAGCCGCGGUAAUACGUAGGGGGCAAGCGUUAUCCGGAUUUACUGGGUGGAAAGGGAGCGUAGACGGCUGUGCAAGUCUGAAGUGAAAGCCCAGGGCUCAACCCUGGGACUGCUUUGGAAACUGUGGAGCUAGAGUGCUGGAGAGGUAAGUGGAAUGCCUAGUGUAGCGGUGAAAUGCGUAGAUAUUAGGAGGAACACCAGUGGCGAAGGCGGCUUACUGGACAGUAACUGACGUUGAGGCUCGAAAGCGUGGGGAGCAAACAGGAUUAGAUACCCUAGUAGUC